UACUAGGCUUGGUAUAUCAUAAGCAGCAAGGGACUUUGGCAGCAGAACUCAGAAAUCAGAUGGCAGAGAGCAUGCACCCGGUGGAGGAGGAGGUGGUGGCUCCAAGCUGCUGAUGAAAUUCCUAGGCUUCUAAUGUUACUUUAUUUGCUGUGGAGGCCAUCACCAACUAGUUAGAUCACCAUAUCCAUUAUACGUAUUCUUUAUUUGUUUUCCUCUUGCCUUCCCUGUUGUUUCUAUCCUCUUCUCUCCUUCUCUCCCCCUUUUUCCCCCCUGUUCAUCCCCCCCAUCUAUUUGUUCUCCCAGUCUUCUAUUUACCUCACCCUGCUUUCACAUCCAUCCCAUUACUAUUCUCUCAUUCAUUUAUAGACCCCAUAUUUCAUUACUAGACCCCAUAUUCUAUAUUUCAUGGUUCAAUACAAUAGUACAGUAAUAUUUAUCUACUCACCAUGUUAUACCUAUUGCCCUAAUCCUUAGACCAGCUAACUUUAUAUAUGGCACAUUCAUCCCUAUAUAUUCCAAUAUAUUGCCCCUUUCUCAAAUUCCAAUACCAGUUAGCUCCACACACAUGCUCUUCCUUCCCCACUCAUUUCCAUAUACUGCCCAUGCAACAUAUUCUGCUAUAUGCUACCCAGCUUCUGAUUUUGCUUCCUUAAAUCUUUCUUAUAUUUCUCUUCUUAUUUUCUAAUAUCCAUCCAUAUUCUCAUAUUCAUCAUUUUCUUUUUGCUCUAUAUAUUCCUCUUUCUCUGUUAUACAUUCUCAUUCUCUUUAGUCCCUUAUGCAUUUCCUAUCUACCCAUGUGACAUCCCCUGGAGCGCAAGUUUGGGUUCCACUGGAUUCUGACACUUGCGCACGCGCAUUAUGCGCUCUCUCUCUGGCCCACUCCGAAUGAAGAGCGCGGCAUACCGGAAGUGGGUCCCCGUCACAUCCGUCCAGGAUGCUCUUAAUAAACGGAAUCUUCCUACUCUCACCACUCACAUUGCGAUCAUUGAACGCAGCACAGACCUCCCUUUCUUCACAACGUUAGGCCGUUCUUCCUGCAACAGCCUCCGCAGCAAUCCUAGAGAUGGAGAGGAGUGUCCGGCUAUCAACCUAUGAAUUGUAUUAAUUCUAGUUUAUUACAUUUUACUUUAUCAAGUUUCUGACUGGAGGCCAGUGUGACUGUCCCACUUUGUGUUUAUAUGUAUUCUUGUAUUACUAUACUAUUACAAUAAAAUGUAA